GGCUCAGAUUGAACGCUGGCGGUGUGCUUAACACAUGCAAGUCGAACGGUAAGGCCCUUUCGGGGGUACACGAGUGGCGAACGGGUGAGUAACACGUGAGUAACCUGCCCUCAUCUCUGGGAUAACAGUCGGAAACGGUUGCUAAUACUGGAUAUGAGCUUGCAAGGCAUCUUGUGGGUUGGAAAGAUUUUUUUGGUUGGGGAUGGACUCGCGGCCUAUCAGCUUGUUGGUGAGGUAGUGGCUCACCAAGGCUUCGACGGGUAGCCGGCCUGAGAGGGCGACCGGCCACAUUGGGACUGAGAUACGGCCCAAACUCCUACGGGAGGCAGCAGUGGGGAAUAUUGCACAAUGGACGGAAGUCUGAUGCAGCAACGCCGCGUGCGGGAUGACGGCCUUCGGGUUGUAAACCGCUUUCAAUUGUGACGAAGCUUUUUGUGACGGUAGCAGUAGAAGAAGCACCGGCUAACUACGUGCCAGCAGCCGCGGUGAUACGUAGGGUGCGAGCGUUGUCCGGAUUUAUUGGGCGUAAAGAGCUUGUAGGCGGUUUGUCGCGUCGGGAGUGAAAACUUGGGGCUUAACCCUGAGCUUGCUUUCGAUACGGGCUGACUUGAGGGAGGUAGGGGAGAAUGGAAUUCCUGGUGGAGCGGUGGAAUGCGCAGAUAUCAGGAGGAACACCGGUGGCGAAGGCGGUUCUCUGGACCUUUCCUGACGCUGAGAAGCGAAAGCGUGGGGAGCGAACAGGCUUAGAUACCCUGGUAGUCCACGCCGUAAACGGUGGGUACUAGGUGUGGGGGACAUUCCACGUUCUCCGUGCCGUAGCUAACGCAUUAAGUACCCCGCCUGGGGAGUACGGCCGCAAGGCUAAAACUCAAAGGAAUUGACGGGGCCCCGCACAAGCGGCGGAGCAUGCGGAUUAAUUCGAUGCAACGCGAAGAACCUUACCUGGGUUUGACAUAUGCCGGGAGCGUUCAGAGAUGGGCGUGCCUUUUUGGUCGGUUUACAGGUGGUGCAUGGCUGUCGUCAGCUCGUGUCGUGAGAUGUUGGGUUAAGUCCCGCAACGA
rnacentral:rRNA from 2 species